rnacentral:misc_RNA from 1 species
UCGCGGCUUAUCACCGGCAGUCCCCUUAGAGUGCCCAACUGAAUGAUGGCAACUAAGGGCGAGGGUUGCGCUCGUUGCGGGACUUAACCCAACAUCUCACGACACGAGCUGACGACAGCCAUGCAGCACCUGUGUUCCCGCCAGCCGAACUGAAGGGUCUCAUUUCUGAAACCCAUACGGGACAUGUCAAAAGCUGGUAAGGUUCUUCGCGUUGCGUCGAAUUGAACCACAUGCUCCACCGCUUGUGCAGGCCCCCGUCAAUUUCUUUGAGUUUUAACCUUGCGGCCGUACUCCCCAGGCGGAUAACUUAAUGCGUUAGCUGCGCCACCCAAGCUCCAUGAGCCCGGACAGCUAGUUAUCAUCGUUUACGGCGUGGACUAC